UGGGGAAUAUUGGGCAAUGGGCGCAAGCCUGACCCAGCAAUGCCGCGUGAAGGAAGAAGGCCCUCGGGUUGUAAACUUCUUUUAUCAGGGACGAAGGAUGUGACGGUACCUGAUGAAUAAGCUCCGGCUAACUACGUGCCAGCAGCCGCGGUAAUACGUAGGGAGCAAGCGUUAUCCGGAUUUACUGGGUGUAAAGGGCGCGUAGGCGGGAUGGCAAGUCAGAUGUGAAAUCCAAGGGCUCAACCCUUGAACUGCAUUUGAAACUGUCGUUCUUGAGUACUGGAGAGGUUGACGGAAUUCCUAGUGUAGCGGUGAAAUGCGUAGAUAUUAGGAGGAACACCAGUGGCGAAGGCGGUCAACUGGACAGCAACUGACGCUGAGGCGCGAAAGCGUGGGGAGCAAACAGGAUUAGAUACCC
rnacentral:rRNA from 1 species